GACGAACGCUGGCGGCGUGCUUAACACAUGCAAGUCGAACGGAAAGGCCCUGCUUUUGUGGGGUGCUCGAGUGGCGAACGGGUGAGUAACACGUGAGUACCCUGCCCUUGCCUUUGGGAUAACUUCAGGAAACUGGGGCUAAUACCGGAUAGGAGCUCCUGCUGCAUGGUGGGGGUGGGAAAGUUUCGGCGGUUGGGGAUGGACUCGCGGCUUAUCAGCUUGUUGGUGGGGUAGUGGCUUACCAAGGCUUUGACGGGUAGCCGGCCUGAGAGGGUGACCGGCCACAUUGGGACUGAGAUACGGCCCAGACUCCUACGGGAGGCAGCAGUGGGGAAUAUUGCACAAUGGGCGGAAGCCUGAUGCAGCAACGCCGCGUGCGGGAUGACGGCCUUCGGGUUGUAAACCGCUUUCGCCUGUGACGAAGCGUGAGUGACGGUAAUGGGUAAAGAAGCACCGGCUAACUACGUG
rnacentral:rRNA from 1 species